ensembl:lncRNA
CCCAAACCCAAACCCGGUGUUUCAGAGCGGCGUCCCAGCGCUCCCUGUGAACAGCUGUGUGGCCAGGCGGCCUCCCCUCAGCCUGCUCUGCGCCCAGCAAACCCGGGGACAUUGCUGCUCCUCACACCCCUUGCCCUCCAGACACGUCAUCUCCACAGCUCACCUUUGGACGCACCGUGACAGUUUUGUGUCCUUCCAUUGCGGCAUCCAAAACAGCACGCAAUGAUGGCAGUGGUGACUGGUGGUGAUGGUGACGGUGAUUGUGGCCCCCACAGCCUGGCCCUCACAGGCUCCUUGCGCUGCCACGCUGGGCUGUCCCCUCAGGAGAUGGCACCUGUCCCUGUGUGAUGUCUCCUGAAGGUCAAAGGACGGGUACUCCUCACUCUCCAUAGAACCCUAGAAUCAUUAAGGCUGGAUAAGACCUCUGAGAUCAUCAAGUCCAACCAUCACCCUAUCACCACUGUGCCCACUAAACCAUGGCCCUCAGUGCCACACCUACGCACAUCUAAAAUGGCGGUGCAAGGAGAUCCUGCCGAAGCCAGGACUGUGUGAGCAGAUCAUGCGUUCGAGGCCAUGGGGUGCCCAGGUGGCUCUGAGCAUCUGUUACGUUUCCACACUGAGAACUUGAACAGCUGCUGCUGCAGCAGCGCCAAAGCCUGGGCCAGGGUGCACCCAGCCCAGCGCAGCAGCACUGAAAUGCAGCUAAGUUCAGGUCCACCCUCUGCAGGGGUCUGGCUGAGCAGAGACAGUUGUCUAGAUGCUGUACAUGAUACCCUGUCUAGCACUAGAAAACGCCUGCGUAGCUGCAGGGUUUCUUUUUUAAGACGUCAUUUCUCCAGGAUACACUGGUGUGUUGGUACAGUAAGAAUAACUGUGUUUCUUGUUUAUUUAGCUGGCCACACUGGAGCCAGCAGGGCUUCUUUUUCACACGAGGCAUGCCCUGCUCGCAGUUGGAAAGAGUGCAGGACCCGGUGCCUUCCUGAGUGAUGACACUGAGGAUUUAAGAAUAUCUUUGCAGUUGCUGGAGUAGCGAAGGGUGGAAUGAUGGUCUGCGUUCAACUUGGUUGUACUUCCUCAGUGUGUUCAGUGUAACAAAUGUCAGUAAAACAUACGGAAAGAAACAGGUCUUUUGUAUAUGGUAAAGUGAAAAAUCAACCUAGGAUAUAGUUAUUCCUUCUAAUCUCUUAUCAGUUCCUUCUGGUGUGCAAAGAGUUAGGAUAGCUGAGCACACUGCAUAGGGCACCUUUGGACUAGAUACUUGACUUUGUGGUGGAUGAAGUAUUAAUGUCACUGCUGGAUGGGGCAGAAGAGCCAAAUAUUUUCCUGUUAAUAGCUUUGGAUGAGCCCAGGUCUGCCUCCUGGAUUUUACUGCUGGACUGUCAUAUAUGUGUUCUCUGUAUGUGGCAUUGUAAAUGUUCAGUUUCUAUUUCUGUUUUAUUGCAAUAGUAUAUUGAAGCAGCUUUUUUUUGGGGGGGGAGGAAGGGAUGGUAAAUUAAAAUAUCACUACAUAGAAAAAAUCUUUUGUUUCAAAGAUGUCACCCCUUUACUGUUCACUGUUUCUAGAUUGACUGUAGCAUUGAAUAAGCAGUGACUGAAGAGCUGUCCUCUGUGUGAACUCUGCUGGUUUGGUUUUGUCAUCAUGAAAUAGAACACAUGGACGCCCUGCCACAUAGACUCAUAGAAUCAUAGAAUGGCCUGGGUUGAAAAGGACCACAAUGAUCAUCGAGUUUCAACCCCCCUGCUAUGUUCAGGGUCGCCAACCACCAGACCAGGCUGCCCAGAGCCACAUCCAGCCUGGCCUUGAAUGCCUCCAGGGAUGGGGCAUCCACAGCCUCCUUGGGCAACCUGUUCCAGUGCGUCACCACCCCCUGUGUGAAAAACUUCUUCCUAAUAUCCAACCUAAACCUCCCCUGUCCCAGUUUAAAACCAUUUCCCCUUGUCCUAUCACUAUCCACCCUCAUAAACAACCGUUCAGAGUUUCUGUUUCCAUCUUGGAACAACAUGCCUUUUCCAUCUUCCUGCCUCACCAUGCAUUCUGGUGUCAGCAUAGAUAGUUCUGUUUGUUUCUUACUCUUCUAAGUUACUCACAUUGCAAUUGUUUUGCACUGCACCACUCAUUUCCUUAUCUUCAUUCUUUUUCCCCCUGAAUAAAUGUACAUUAAAUGCAGUAAGCUUAAAUUAACUUUUUCUUUUUUUUUUUCAGGGAAGACAACUUUACUGUAUUGUCAGCAUUUUAUGAUUUCCUUUGCAGAAACAUCUGAUUUGUUCCAGGAAAUCACAUGCAGAUACAGCGCUUCCCUUCACAGCAACCAGAUGCAUGUUUUGAAUUGACACAGGCAGUUUAUCCAUAUUCCUGGACUGCUAAGCACUACUUUCAGCAACUCUCAGGGCUAGAACUCAUUCCCUGGGAAAUUUCUUUCCUGAUGAAUCUUCAAGAUUUACCAGCAGGAGUGCAGAUCUGAGAUAAAACGACCCAUCUUUGCUUCUUUCAGAUGGCAGAGACCAGCUUCUGAUACUGAAGUUUCACUAAAACCAAUGGCAGCAAUGUGAAUGUGCACCCAUUGAGAAAUUGGCCCCAGUCACGUGUUUCCUGAAAUCAUCUGCUUAGAAUAAAGGUUUAAUGCCCCAUCAUAUGGACUGGUAUUCUUCGGAUGGGAGGCCUUGUGGUUACAGCCACAAAGGAGGAAACUGUCCCAUGCAUUGACUUUGUGUUCAGAAGUGCACAACUACCCCUAGCCUUAGUUGGACUUGGUGCUAGGCACUGCUGAAAAGCAAGGCAUGCAUUUACCAGCCUGUCUUCCGACGUGUGAGUUUUCCACAGAUGUUUCCUAAGUGAACGUUAAGGCCAGAUAGAUGAGUCCAAAUACCUGAAGCUGCUUUGAAAAUUGCAAGUUGUUUGUGCUCAUGAAAGACGUAUUUAUAUCAGUGAUAAAUACGGUGUUGACACCUUACCAGGUGUCCGCUGCAUGUGUUAUUAUUAGCAAAUCUACAAAGUACACUGUAAAGAUCUAAGAUCUACACACUUACGAAGAGAACGUAAUGAACAGUUAGAACUGAUCUACUGUUAACAGAUAAUUGAGCCUUUCUUUGUACAAGGGUUAAUAAAAAUGCUUGUGACAUAAGGAAUAGUGAAACUGAGCUCCACAGCUGAGGUGCUGUAUAAACCUGACCGUCGCUCAGCUUCUGCAUAUCUGCAGCUGUAAAAGCCUGGAGCUUACUGCAAACUGAUUUAUCCUGCCUAGUCUUGAAAGAAUUGCAUAGUCUCCAGGUGCCAUUGCUUCAUACAUGCCUUAUGGGGACAAUACAAAAUGUACUUAGUGCCUUUCUUUAGAUCUAAUAAAAAAC